UACCAGCACCCCGAGUGGUCGGGACGAUUAUUGGGCCUAAAGCAUCCGUAGCCGGUCCUACAAGUCUUCCGUUAAAUCCACCUGCUUAACAGAUGGGCUGCGGAAGAUACUAUAGGGCUAGGAGGCGGGAGAGGCAAGCGGUACUCAGUGGGUAGGGGUAAAAUCCUCUGAUCCAUUGAAGACCACCAGUGGCGAAGGCGGCUCACUGGCCCGGUACUGACGCUGAGGUGCGAAAGCGUGGGGAGCAAACAGG
rnacentral:rRNA from 1 species